CAAAUGACUCUCGGCAAUGGAUAUCUCGGCUCUUGCAUCGAUGAAGAACGUAGUGAAAUGCGAUACUUGGUGUGAAUUGCAGAAUCUCGUGAACCAUUGAGUCUUUGAACGCAAGUUGUGCCCAAGGCCUUGUGGUCGAGGGCACGCCUGCUUGGGCGUCAUGG
rnacentral:rRNA from 1 species